rnacentral:rRNA from 1 species
GAUGAACGCUGGCGGCGUGCCUAAUACAUGCAAGUCGAACGAGGUGCUUGAGUAGCAAUACAAGUAGUACUCCUAGUGGCGAACGGGUGAGUAACGCGUGGAUGACCUCGCCCCAAAGUGGUGGGAUAACAGUACCGAAAGGAUUGACUAAUACCUCAUGUGGUUAUCGGGUUUAGAACUGAUACUAAGCAGCAAUGCGCUUUGGGAGGGAUCUGCGUCCCAUCAGCUAGUUGGUGAGGUAAUGGCUCACCAAGGCGACGACGGGUAGGGGACCUGAGAGGGUCGGCCCCCCACAAUGGAACUGAAACACGGUCCAUACACCUACGGGUGGCAGCAGUAGGGAAUUUUGGGACAAUGGGGGCAACCCUGAGUCCCAGCCAUGCCGCGUGAGUGAA